rnacentral:rRNA from 1 species
GACGUAGGGCGCGAGCGUUGUCCGGAUUUAUUGGGCGUAAAGAGCUCGUAGGCGGUUUGGUAAGUCAGGUGUGAAAUCUCCACGCUCAACGUGGAGGGGCCACCUGAUACUGCCAUGACUGGAGUCCGGUAGAGGAGUGUGGAAUUCCCGGUGUAGCGGUGAAAUGCGCAGAUAUCUGGAGGAACACCCGUGGCUAAGGCGGCUCUCUAGUACGGUACUGACGCUGAGACGCGAAAGCGUGGGGAGCGAACAGG